rnacentral:misc_RNA from 1 species
UAAGUCAUUCAACUGUUUCAUGAGCCC